GGGCUGUUAGCUCAUCUGGGAGAGCGCCUGCCUUGCAAGCAGGAGGUGGCGAGUUCGAGACUCGCACGGUCCA
rnacentral:tRNA from 1 species